rnacentral:rRNA from 1 species
AACGAACGCUGGCGGCGUGGAUAAGACAUGCAAGUCGAACGGGAUUACUUUUGUAGCAAUACAAAAGUAGUUCAGUGGCGCAAGGGUGCGUAACACGUGGGCAAUCUGCCGAGAUGUGGGGGAUAGCUCGCCGAAAGGCGAAUUAAUACCGCAUGUGAUUAGGGAAGACAUCUUUCCGACAUCAAAGCCGGGGCAACCUGGCGCAUCUUGAUGAGCCCCGCGGCCUAUCAGCUAGUUGGCGAGGUAAUGGCUCACCAAGGCAUUGACGGGUAGCUGGUCUCAGAGGACGACCAGCCACACUGGAACUGAGACACGGUCCAGACACCUACGGGUGGCAGCAGUCGAGUAAUUUUUCUCAAUGGGGCAACCCUGAAGGAGCGACGCCGCGUGGA